AGAGUUUGAUCCUGGCUCAGGACGAACGCUGGCGGCGUGCUUAACACAUGCAAGUCGAACGGAGCACCCUUGAUUGAGGUUUCGGCCAAAUGAGAGGAAUGCUUAGUGGCGGACUGGUGAGUAACGCGUGAGGAACCUGCCUUUCAGAGGGGGACAACAGUUGGAAACGACUGCUAAUACCGCAUGAUGCAUUUGGGCGACAUCGCCUGAAUGUCAAAGAUUUAUCGCUGAAAGAUGGCCUCGCGUCUGAUUAGAUAGUUGGUGAGGUAACGGCCCACCAAGUCGACGAUCAGUAGCCGGACUGAGAGGUUGACCGGCCACAUUGGGACUGAGAUACGGCCCAGACUCCUACGGGAGGCAGCAGUGGGGAAUAUUGGGCAAUGGACGCAAGUCUGACCCAGCAACGCCGCGUGAAGGAAGAAGGCUUUCGGGUUGUAAACUUCUUUUAAGGGGGAAGAGUAGAAGACGGUACCCCUUGAAUAAGCCACGGCUAACUACGUGCCAGCAGCCGCGG
rnacentral:rRNA from 1 species